ACACAUGCAAGUCGAGCGAGAAAGGGGGGGCAACCCCCUGAGUAGAGCGGCGCACGGGUGAGUAACGCGUGGGUAACCUACCCCCAGGCGGGGGAUAACUACUCGAAAGGGUGGCUAAUACCGCAUGAGACCACGGGAUCUUCGGAUCCUGAGGCUAAAGAUCGCACCGGCUUGCCGGUGCUGUCACCAGGGGAUGGGCCCGCGUCCGAUUAGCUAGUUGGUGAGGUAAUGGCUCACCAAGGCUCCGAUCGGUAGCUGGUCUGAGAGGAUGAUCAGCCACACUGGAACUGAAACACGGUCCAGACUCCUACGGGAGGCAGCAGUGAGGAAUAUUGCGCAAUGGGGGAAACCCUGACGCAGCAACGCCGCGUGGGUGAAGAAGGCCUUCGGGUCGUAAAGCCCUUUCGGACGGGACGAACGCUCCGCGGUGACAAGCCGCGGAGUCUGACGGUACCGUAGGAAGAAGCACCGGCUAACUCCGUGCCAGCAGCCGCGGUAAUACGGAGGGUGCGAGCGUUGUUCGGAAUUACUGGGCGUAAAGCGCGUGUAGGCGGCCUUGCAAGUCAGGCGUGAAAGCCCUCGGCUUAACCGGGGAAGUGCGUCUGAAACUGCUUGGCUUGAGUACGGGAGAGGGAGGCGGAAUUCCCAGUGUAGAGGUGAAAUUAGUAGAUAUCGGGAGGAACACCGGUGGCGAAAGCGGCGUCCUGGACCGAUACUGACGCUGAGACGCGAAAGCGUGGGGAGCAAACAGGAUUAGAUACCCUGGUAGUCCACGCGGUAAACGAUGGGCACUAGGUGUGGGGGGUAUCCACUCCUCCGGU
rnacentral:rRNA from 1 species